CUUCUGCUCCUGCCCCCCAGAAUACUUCCUCCACGAUGACAUGAGGACUUGUGGGGUCAACUGUAGUGGGGAUGUAUUCACUGCCCUGAUUGGGGAGAUCGCAAGUCCCAAUUAUCCCAACCCAUACCC
rnacentral:lncRNA from 14 species